rnacentral:rRNA from 1 species
GCAAGUCGAACGGUGAACCAGAGCUUGCUCUGGGGAUCAGUGGCGAACGGGUGAGUAACACGUGGGCAACCUGCCCCAGACUCUGGGAUAACCUCGGGAAACCGAUGCUAAUACCGGAUACGACCACUUCGGACAUCCGACGGUGGUGGAAAGUUUUUCGGUCUGGGAUGGGCCCGCGGCCUAUCAGCUAGUUGGUGGGGUAAUGGCCUACCAAGGCGACGACGGGUAGCCGGCCUGAGAGGGCGACCGGCCACACUGGAACUGAGACACGGUCCAGACUCCUACGGGAGGCAGCAGUGGGGAAUAUGCACAAUGGGCGAAAGCCUGAUGCAGCGACGCCGCGUGAGGGACGACGGCCUUCGGGUUGUAAACCUCUUUCAGCAGGGACGAAGCGAAAGUGACUGUACCUGCAGAAGAAGCACCGGCUAACUACGUG